ensembl:lncRNA
CUCUGUACCUUUUGGAGUGUUCUGUGAGUCCCGCUCCUUGGGACAGUGUGCUGCCAUGUCUUGCCACUACAAAGACAGUGGAGAAUUGAUGGUGCAACUGAACUGCCCUGUUUUGAAUGCAGAACUGACUUUCAUUUAAAAAUCUAAGGGGGAAAAAAUAAUAUUCUCUCUUCCAGUACUUGUUGAUAGAUGGCUCUGAGAUGCAAAAGUAAUGAAGAAAUAAGCUUUCACAUGCAGCUGCAUCUCAGGUCAAGGCUGAAGCUGAGUGCCCAGCAAUAGGCUCCAGGGGUUUACUGGAAGCAAAACAGCCAUGGUCUGAGCACGGAGGGAUGAGCGUCGUCUGCAUGUUCAUCGUUGGUGAAUGAUACGAGCUCCUAGAAUGCAAAGUAUUUGCUAAUCUUCAUAGGGAAAUUGAAUGCCAUGCUGCACCUUUCUGGGUUCAGUGGCUAAAGAGAUCAGAAUUCAUUUUACCACACUAUGAAACAGCCUAUGCAAGUAAGGAUAAAGGAAAAGGUCAGCUGGCUUCACUGUAGAUGAAAAGCACUGCAUAGCAAGUCCCUAGCUAUUGUUCUUGUUGCUUCUGUGACCACAAUAGUUAUUUAUCAUUCUUCACAGUUGAAAUGCUGCUUUCUCCAUUAACUUCUAUCACUUCAGCUGUCACAUUUGAAUUCAUUCAUUCCUUGAAAAAAAAAUGUUUAUUCUCUUUUCUUUUGAAGUGGGAAUGCAGUGAUUAGCCAUAUAGUCAGGAGAUGUUGAUCUUACCAGAAAUCCUAUACUUUGUCAUGAAUGGGAGUUAUGCAUCCUCAAACUGUAUUAGUUACCCUCCUUAGACAGGUACUGUGCACAAUCAGUAUUUAGCUGCCUAAUCUGUAAUCAGAGGAAAGGCUAAUUUCACUCUCUAAAGUCUAAAGUAACUAUAGCUGCAGGAUUACAGCAAUGAAAGAUUAGAGGAAGACCUCUUAUCUUGAGUUUCAUCUGCUCUGAUGAUGCUCUGGGGUGGCACUCCUCAAAGCAUGCCAACUAGCAAUUGGUUCUAGCUUUUGGAAAGUAGACCAGCAUGAUGGAUCUGAUUCAUUCCUAUUUUGCCACUGAAUGCCAUCAUUACUGAAGAUGGGAUUGUUCCUUGAGCUCUCAAAGGAUGCAGUGUUACUUCAUUUUUAUUUCCCACUAUCAAUAUGCUUAACUUUGUGGUGGUUGUUAUUCUUGUGCUGAAGAAAAGCCACUUGGAUGUUUGACUAAGAAAUCAUCUUAACAAAAUGUAAAUUAUUCCAGAGGGUCCAUCUACAUAAGUACACAUUAAUCUACUUCUUAAAUAUGUAGCGGAGUCUUUCCCCUGAGGAGACCAUGGAGCUGUGAAAAUAUGUAAUGAUAAUUAAUUACUGCCCAAGAAUAGAUUAAUAUUGCAUGGUAGGAAUAAUAAAAUGUAUAUAACUAAGUGGUGUCUGUAGGAUAAUGCAAACUGUGAAGAGGUAUCAGGCUGUGGCAGUGUUAGAUUUAAUAUCCCAUCAAAAGGAAAGUGCUGUUUUCUGUCUGAAUGCAUUUGUUGCGUAGCAUGGCCAUUUAUUGUCAUAGUUCAUAGUCUGACAAAUAAAAACAUUUUAUUUCAAUUGCCCAAGAGAGCUGGCUUUGCUGUUGCUGCAGAAAAAGCCAUUUCUUCUUUAAGGAGUUGCUGUUGGGCUUAUUACCGAUGUCUGUGCUGUGGCUUUAAAUAUCAUUGCCCUGACUGUGCUCGUGUAUAAACAGAGGAUGAGAAUGUGUUCCUGAAUGUAUCUGCCAAGCACCGUAUUUUGCUUUUUUUUCCUUUAAGGCUUCUGUCCCAGUCUUACAACAUCUCACCCAUCCUCUGUUAUUUGUCUUAAAGUUGAUGCAGUGCAGGUCUUUAAGUGGUGCAUAGCUGGAAGAGUAGUUUAGUAGUUUAAGAGUAGUUUAAUUCAAUUAUGAAACCCCAUUAACAAUUUUGAACUAUCUUGUCUUGUAAGUUAAAUUCAGGAGGUUUGGCUAAAAUUGUAUCCUUCAGUAACUGAUUUUGUACUUGUAUUUUAAAUGAAGAUACUAACACAGGACUUAAGCUGAAGGUACUUAACAUGAGAAUGCAACGUGGAAAUACUCUUGUAGGUUGCUGGAUCUGAUUUUUGCAGUUGCAGACAUGCACAUU